CGCCUCAUGGCGUCACUUCCGCUCCCCGCGCCGCCAUCUUAGCGUCGGGCAGGCGCCGCCAUGACGCGGAGGGACCCGCGGCCGCUGUGCCGCCUGGUGCUGGCCGCCGUGGUGCUGCUGUCGUGGGGCUACGUGCUGUACGGGGCGCGGGAGGCAGCGAGGAGGCUGCUGCAGGGCGGGACCGCGGUGCCCUGAGGGGAGGAGGAAGAGGAGGAGAGAGGCCGAAGGACGCCGCCCGAGGAGCUCUGAGGGGAGGAUAAAGCGCAAGGGAGCCUUGUGCCUUCAGGGUAGCUGAGCUGCUGUGACCACCCUGAACCGCUUUACUCGUAAGCGGCCACCAGAUGGAGAAGCGCACCGCAGCACCGCUCCCCAGCCCCAGCAGCGCUUCCCUGCCUGCCCCGCGGGUCUCCAGCAGCGUCCGGAGGCCCUCGGCUGCUCCCUAGAGUGCGAAGCAGAGCCCACAGCUCUGUGGAGCUCCAAGUAACCAGAGAAAUCCCAGAAACUUGAGGUUUAGAAUCAGCUCAGUUUCUCACGCUGGAGAAAAUCUUCACUCUGGCUCUUGUGCCCGACAGCUGUGCGUUGUUCUGACGCCGAGGCCAUAGGGAUCAGUGUCCAGGAUUAAGAUCCUGAGACCUGGAUUGAAAGUAAGUUAAGAAAUUACUCAGCAGAUACCUAGUCUCAGGAGAAAAGAGAAUACGAGCUCAGUAUAUCAGCAGUAACAGUGUUAAAAAUUCAGUUCCUGUGCAGUUUUGAUGCUACUUGUCUCAUUUCUUUACAUGCUGACCUCUCCCCUCUAAAGAAGCUCCCUCUGAAGCUGCCCACUUUCAGUGCUACCACCUAUGUUGUCUGUUCCACGUCCCCUUCCCUUUCAAACUCUGCUUGGCUUGCUCUCCUGUCCUUGCCUGUGGAAAUCAAGGAGCAGCACGUGCAAAACCCCUCAGCUUGCACUGGGGGUGUCGCAGAAGGGGCCAGGACUCUCCUCACCCACAAAAAUGCAGUGAAGAUCAGAAAAUGUUUCCUGUCCAAAAUGGUAUAGCAAAUAAAAACCCUGCUUCAAGCUUUAAGCAGCAUUAACCAUUCAGAUGCAAUCGCCAGGGAUGGCUGUUUUGCUAAUGCGUAUCAUCCCUAAAGGAACAUAUUCAUAAUGCCAAUGAAAUCCCCUUCAGAUCUUAUUAUGAUUGUGUUAAAUAAAGCUUAGCCUGUUUAUGACAGCAAAGCUUG